rnacentral:rRNA from 1 species
GAUCAGGUAGGGAUACCCGCUGAACUUAAGCAUAUCAAUAAGCGGAGGAAAAGAAACCAACAGGGAUUACCUCAGUAACGGCGAGUGAAGCGGUAACAGCUCAAAUUUGAAAUCUGGGCCUUUCAGGCUCCGAGUUGUAAUUUGUAGAAGAUGCUUCGGGUGCGGCUCCGGUCUAAGUUCCUUGGAACAGGACGUCAUAGAGGGUGAGAAUCCCGUAUGUGAUCGGUUGCUUGCGCCCAUGUGAAGCUCUUUCGACGAGUCGAGUUGUUUGGGAAUGCAGCUCAAAAUGGGUGGUAAAUUUCAUCUAAAGCUAAAUAUUGGCCAGAGACCGAUAGCGCACAAGUAGAGUGAUCGAAAGAUGAAAAGCACUUUGGAAAGAGAGUUAAACAGUACGUGAAAUUGUUGAAAGGGAAGCGCUUGCAACCAGACUUGCGCGUUGCUGAUCAUCCGGGGUUCUCCCCGGUGCACUCGGCUUCGCUCAGGCCAGCAUCGGUUUCGGUGGUGGGAUAAAGGCCUUGGGAAUGUAGCUUCUUUCGGGGAGUGUUAUAGCCCUCGGUGCAAUGCCGCCUACCGGGACCGAGGACCGC